rnacentral:rRNA from 1 species
UGAGGAAUAUUGGUCAAUGGGCGAGAGCCUGAACCAGCCAAGUAGCGUGCAGGAUGACGGCCCUAUGGGUUGUAAACUGCUUUUAUAUGGGAAUAAAGUGAGGGACGUGUCCCUUAUUGCAUGUACCAUACGAAUAAGGACCGGCUAAUUCCGUGCCAGCAGCCGCGGUAAUACGGAAGGUCCAGGCGUUUUCCGGAUUUAUUGGGUUUAAAGGGAGCGUAGGCUGUUUGUUAAGCGUGUUGUGAAAUGUAAGAGCUCAACUUUUAGGUUGCAGCGCGAACUGGCAGACUUGAGUGCGCACAACGUAGGCGGAAUUCAUGGUGUAGAGGUGGAAUGCUUAGAUAUCAUGACGAGAUCCGAUUGCGAAGGCAGCUUACGGGUGCGCAACAGACGCUAAAGCUCGAAGGUGCGGGUAUCGAACAGG